CUUUCCUCCCAGGUCGGUAAAGCGGCCGGCGAGAGGUGGAAAAGCUUGAGCGAAUCGGACAAGGCUCCCUACGUCGCCAAGGCCAACAAGCUCAAGGGCGACUACAACAAGGCCAUUGCCGCAUACAACAAGGGCGAGAGCGCUGCUGCGA